rnacentral:rRNA from 1 species
UACGUACCGUCCAAACGUUAUUCGGAAUUACUGGGCUUAAAGGGUACGUAGGCGGCGCUGUCAGUCGGGUGUGAAAGCCCUCGGCUCAACCGAGGAAUUGCGCCCGAUACUGCAGUGCUUGAGGGAGACAGAGGUAAGCGGAACUGAUGGUGGAGCGGUGAAAUGCGUUGAUAUCAUCAGGAACACCAGUGGCGAAAGCGGCUUACUGGGUCUCUACUGACGCUGAGGUACGAAAGCUAGGGGAGCGAAGGGG